rnacentral:rRNA from 1 species
GAUGAACGCUAGCGGCAGGCCUAAUACAAGCAAGUCGAACGGUGUCUUCGGACAUAGUGGCGCACGGGUGCGUAACACGUAUGCAACCUACCUUACAUUGGGGGAUAGCCUUUCGAAAGGGAGAUUAAUACCGCAUAAGACAGUAGCUGGGCAUCCAGCAGCUGUUAAAGAUUUAUCGAUGUAAGCUGGGCAUGCGUCCAAUUAGCUAGUUGGUGAGGUAACGGAUCACCAAGGCAAUGAUUGGUAGGGGAACUGAGAGGCCAAUCCCCCACACUGGCACUGAGAUACGGGCCAGACUCCUACGGGGGGCAGCAGUAGGGAAUAUUGGGCAAUGGACGCAAGUCUGACCCAGCCAUGCCGCGUGCAGGAUGAAGGCGUUAUGCGUUGUAAACUGCUUUUAUACAGGAAGAAACGACUCUUGCGAGAGGCAUUGACGGUACUGUAUGAAUAAGCACCGGCUAACUCCGUGCCAGCCGCCGCCGUAAUAC